rnacentral:misc_RNA from 1 species
AAGUUGUAACAAGGUUUCCGUAGGUGAACCUGCGGAAGGAUCAUUAACAAAUCCAUAUGCGUGUGGUGGGGAGACCCGCCCGCGAAUAUUAAACCUGCCGGUCUUUUACGAGACUGGUUGGAAAUAAAUGCGUGUUGUGUUGACAGUGUGUGAUUGAUUUAAUUAUUGACAA